rnacentral:rRNA from 1 species
GAUGAACGCUGGCGGCGUGCCUAAUACAUGCAAGUCGAGCGAACGGACGAGAAGCUUGCUUCUCUGAUGUUAGCGGCGGACGGGUGAGUAACACGUGGAUAACCUACCUAUAAGACUGGGAUAACUUCGGGAAACCGGAGCUAAUACCGGAUAAUAUUUUGAACCGCAUGGUUCAAAAGUGAAAGACGGUCUUGCUGUCACUUAUAGAUGGAUCCGCGCUGCAUUAGCUAGUUGGUAAGGUAACGGCUUACCAAGGCAACGAUGCAUAGCCGACCUGAGAGGGUGAUCGGCCACACUGGAACUGAGACACGGUCCAGACUCCUACGGGAGGCAGCAGUAGGGAAUCUUCCGCAAUGGGCGAAAGCCUGACGGAGCAACGCCGCGUGAGUGAUAAAGGUCUUCGGAUCGUAAAACUCUGUUAUUAGGGAAGAACAUAUGUGUAAGUAACUGUGCACAUCUUGACGGUACCUAAUCAGAAAGCUACGGCUAACUACGUG